CUUUCAAUGAUGAUAAACUAAAACUCUGUCAACAGGCCAAUGCUGUACAACAGACCAUGCACUGAUACAGUAAUAAUACAUAAGUACAUGAUGAACAUGGCUUGUACAUUUUCUGCAACUUUUGUUGCAGCUUAAUAAAUGGAAGACAAAUGCAAAAAAACCCACAAGGGUGUAAGUGACUCAAUGGCACCCCCUAGCUGGUUGAUCCUGGUAUGACAGACACAACACAAUAUCAUACAUGAUAAAUUAUUAUAUAUAUUAGGAUUUCUAUGUCUUUUGUUACACCAAUGGCACUAAUCAUAUGCUUUAUGUUUUUAUUUAUUGGGGUUUUAGGGUGGAGGACUGACAGACUAAAACCCAUACUUAACAAAAACCAGAUGAACUAUUGAGAAAUCUAAAUAGAGCCAUGUUUACUUUACAGACAGGGUAUCACAGAUUGACAUUAUUGAGAACUUGAGAUUAUGUUACAAGUGAUUUAAUUUGCACAAUCUUUACACGACUUGUCCUACGGUGGGAAUGCAGGCAAUAGUUGCGAGUAAAACAAUUCAAUUUCUGAUGUGGUUCACACACUGCACAAAUGAUCUGGUACUAUGUGGUGGUAAUACUGUACAUCUAAUGAUUUGACUUCCUGUUCAAGGCAUCAGCCACGUCACCAGUGAAGAGCAGUUCCCCCUUCUCCGAGAGUUGAAACUCUGCACGUAACGUGAGUGUGCAGCGUCCAACGACACAGCGGACCCUCUGUUACCUCUUCUUCAAGUAUCAAGCACAACAAAGGACGUCAUGACGAACAAUCGCUUUCCCUCGACACCACGAAGCUGCACGACGACGCGACACGGUGUCAAUGCUCGAGCUCAGGCCUUCGUUCCGUACCCAGCUCCACCGCUGCUGUCACUCUGCAUGCUGAAAUACUCCGUGAACGACGGGAGUCGAGGAGGCAGCGGAGGUGAUCGCGUGGCCGGCCGAGGAGGCUACUGUCUCCGCCACCGUCUUCACUGCAUCCUGGAAAGAAAAUCAAGGUUGGUUAGCUUUGACUAUAUAUAUACAUAUAUAAC